AGAGUUUGAUCAUGGCUCAGGACGAACGCUGGCGGUGCGCCUUAUGCAUGCAAGUCGAGCGAAGCUUUUCAGUAGUUUACUACAGAAAAUGACUGAGCGGCGAACGGGUGAGUAACGCGUGAGCAAUCUACCUUAGUUACAGGGAUAGCCCGAGGAAACUCGGAUUAAUACCUGAUAUUCUUUACAUUUCGCAUGAAAUCAAAAGGAAAGGUCAGCCGAACUAAGAUGAGCUCGCGUUCUAUCAGCUAGUUGGUGAGGUAAAAGCUCACCAAGGCAACGACGGAUAGCUGGUCUGAGAGGACGAUCAGCCACACUGGGACUGAGACACGGCCCCAAACUCCUACGGGAGGCUGCAGCAGGGAAUAUUGCGCAAUGAGCGAAAGCUUGACGCAGCGACACCGCGUGUGGGAUGACGGAUCUAGGUUUGUAAACCACUUUUCAGGAGGGAAGAAAAUGACGGUACCUCCACAAGAAGCCCCGGCCAACUACGUGCCAGCAGCCGCGGUAAUACGUAGG
rnacentral:rRNA from 1 species